GUCUAUGGCCAUACCACCAUGAAAGCUCUGAUCUUAGAAGCUAAACAGGUCGGGCCUGGUUAGUAGUUGGAUUGGAGAAUUGGGAGACCUUUGGACA
ensembl:rRNA 5S_rRNA 5S ribosomal RNA